rnacentral:rRNA from 1 species
AUUGAACGCUGGCGGCAGGCUUAACACAUGCAAGUCGAGCAGAGAGAGGUAGCUUGCUACUGAUCUUAGCGGCGGACGGGUGAGUAAUGCUUAGGAAUCUGCCUAUUAGUGGGGGACAACAUUUCGAAAGGAAUGCUAAUACCGCAUACGUCCUACGGGAGAAAGCAGGGGAUCUUCGGACCUUGCGCUAAUAGAUGAGCCUAAGUCGGAUUAGCUAGUUGGUGGGGUAAAGGCCUACCAAGGCGACGAUCUGUAGCGGGUCUGAGAGGAUGAUCCGCCACACUGGGACUGAGACACGGCCCAGACUCCUACGGGAGGCAGCAGUGGGGAAUAUUGGACAAUGGGCGCAAGCCUGAUCCAGCCAUGCCGCGUGUGUGAAGAAGGCCUUAUGGUUGUAAAGCACUUUAAGCGAGGAGGAGGCUACUUUGGUUAAUACCUAGAGAUAGUGGACGUUACUCGCAGAAUAAGCACCGGCUAACUCUGUGCCAGCCGCCGCCGUAACAC